UCCAAUCGAACUCGGAGAUAGCUGGUUCUCCCCGAAAUAGCUUUAGGGCUAGCGUCGGAUAUGUGUAGUGGAGGUAGAGCACUGAAUGGGCUAGGGGGCAUAGCGCUUACCGAACCUUAUCAAACUCCGAAUGCCACAUACAUUAAGUCCGGCAGUCAGACUACGAAUGAUAAGAUCCGUGGUCAAAAGGGAAACAGCCCAGAUCGUCAGCUAAGGUCCCAAAGUGUAAGUUAAGUGGAAAAGGAUGUGGGAUUUCUAAGACAACUAGGAUGUUGGCUUAGAAGCAGCCACUCAUUUAAAGAGUGCGUAAUAGCUCACUAGUCGAGAGAUCCUGCGCCGAAAAUGUCCGGGGCUCAAACUUACCACCGAAGCUACGGGCUUGCAUUAGCAAGCGGUAGGGGAGCGUCGUAAUCGGGCUGAAGUCGUACCGUAAGGAGCGGUGGACUGAUUACGAGUGAGAAUGUUGGCAUUAGUAGCGAGAUGUAGGUGAGAAUCCUACAGGCCGAAUAUCUAAGGUUUCCUCAGGAAGGCUCGUCCGCUGAGGGUUAGUCGGGACCUAAGCCGAGGCCGAAAGGCGUAGGCGAUGGACAAUCGGUUGAUAUUCCGAUACCACUACCAUCGUUAUUAUCGAGGGUGUGACGGAGAAGGAUAGUGUGUGCUAGCGAUUGGAAAUGCUAGUCUAAGCGUUUAGGGAGUUACGGUAGGCAAAUCCGCUGUAACAAUUCUGAGGCGUGAUGGGGAAGGCCAUAUAGGCCGAAGUACAUGAUUCCAUGCUUCCAAGAAAAGCAUCUAGAGAGAGAAGUAGUGCCCGUACCGCAAACCGACACAGGUAGAUGAGGAGAGAAUCCUAAGGCCGGCGGAAGAAUUGCAGUUAAGGAACUAGGCAAAUUGACCCCGUAAGUUCGCGAGAAGGGGUGCCUGCGAGAGCAGGCCGCAGAGAAUAGGCCCAAGCAACUGUUUAGCAAAAACACAGGUCUCUGCUAAAGCGCAAGCUGAUGUAUAGGGGCUGACGCCUGCCCGGUGCUGGAAGGUUAAGGGGAACACUUAGCGCAAGCGAAGGUGUGAACUUAAGCCCCAGUAAACGGCGGCCGUAACUAUAACGGUCCUAAGGUAGCGAAAUUCCUUGUCAGGUAAGUUCUGACCCGCACGAAUGGCGUAAUGACUUGGGCACUGUCUCAACUGCAAAUCCGGCGAAGUUGUAGUGCGAGUGAAGAUGCUCGCUACCCGCGAUUGGACGGAAAGACCCCGUAGAGCUUUACUGCAGCUUAGCAUUGAAUUCCGGUAUUGUCUGUACAGGAUAGGUGGGAGACUGGGAAACUAGGGCGUCAGCCUUAGUGGAGUCAACCUUGGGAUACCACCCUGACAGUACUGGGGUUCUAACAGGACGCCAUGAAUCUGGUGACUGGACAUUGUUAGGUGGGCAGUUUGACUGGGGCGGCCUCCUAAAAAGUAACGGAGGCGCCCAAAGGUUCCCUCAGAACGGUCGGAAAUCGUUCGUAGAGUGCAAAGGCAUAAGGGAGCCUGACUGCGAGACCUACAAGUCGAGCAGGGACGAAAGUCGGGCUUAGUGAUCCGGUGGUACCUCGUGGGAGGGCCAUCGCUCAACGGAUAAAAGCUACCUCGGGGAUAACAGGCUGAUCUCCCCCAAGAGU
rnacentral:rRNA from 1 species